AAACUACAUCUUUUGGGGUUGUGCACAUUGGAAUUCACAGUAUAAAUCUGUAGAUUUUUAAGCAAACAAAACAUUCAUUUUUACAGAAGCAAGAUGUUAAAAAAUAGGGUCCACCAUAAUAAUACAACCAGUAAAUACAAUUUAAAAAAAAGCAAAUAUCAGCAGUAAAAGACAAUAAAAUUGAUAGUAUUUUUUAUUUUAAAAUUCAGAUACUGAUAUACAGAUUAAAAGUUAGGCCUGCAGUAUAUCAUUGUUAACCUUCUGAUAAAAAAAUCAACAGCAAAAGAAGAUGUUUAAAAUAAAGUUCAUGGUUGUGAAUAAAAUUGAUUUCAAUAAUCUUUUUUAAAUAUUAUUUUAAAACAACUUUAUGUUAUGUUUCACGCCAUAUUAUCAGACCACCUUAAGUGGGUCCACCUUCAAUUUUGAGUUUGUGUGAUCGCUGUUGAUUGGUUGCUGGUAAACUGUGUACAGACGUUUUACGUUCGAAUUGCAGAGAAAAAAUGUUUUCUGGUAGCAACAUUGUGCAGUAUGAGCGAACCAUUUCACAAAAAAAGGGGAAGCAAGGCAAGACGUGACUUCUGAUCAAACCUCCUCCUAAAGAAAGAAAGAGCGACAUCACAUUACGGGAUGACGUCACCUGAAAAUGACGCUGCUGAGCUGUGUGCCGCGCGCUUUUUUUUUCUUGCAGGAGACUUGUUGGCUUCGCUAACGGACGCAGUUUUGAACUCGUAUUAGCGCCAUUUAUAGCUGCUUGGACCAGCAUCUUCGGAAUUUGUAGACAUCCUGGCAACUUACAAUUAAUUCGAGGUGAGGUUUAAGGGUGGUGACACAGCUAAGACCCCAGAGUCUCUUUCAAGGUUAGUAAAGUAAACAGAUUCUAGAAGAUAUUUUACACAUUUCUCUGUUGUCUCUAAAUCUUAUUUUGUCUUUAUUAUGAUUAAAAAGGUUUGUUUUGUUCCUGCCCUUUUCAGACACUGAAUUUGAGCAGAAACCAUAAGGAUACUCAAAGGACCUGUGACUCUCAGGAAAUGCAUCAAAUGAGAGUGACAGGUGAAACCGUUUCAAGACAAUGGCAGGAAAAUCAUGCUGAAGAUUGAAUCAAACCUUGGCUGGAAAUAUUUGAAGGGAUCUAGCCAGAACACAAUGAAAGCUUCGUUGCCCCCCUGUGAGUCUUCUGGCAGAAAUGAUGGCACCUGUAUAUUUUGGUUUCCCUAAACAUCACAUCCUGUUUAUACGAGGCUCUUCAAUUAAGUCUGCACCCAAAGAUUCAAUAAGAGAGGGGAUCCUGCCAGUCCAAAGUGAACUCCUGAUGGACAUUGAAGUACUCCUGCAGAGCUUGUAUCUUCGACACCAUGCGCAUUAGAAACUCCACUGAGUGCUUUCCUUCACCAAGGCAGGACCCAGUGACUCAUUACUGUUGAUCGGUCAGGGGCAGGUCAUUUUAUGUUUCAUGUUUAUUAAUUUCUCCAUGGAUUACCAGCCAUAUAUAUGGACACAUGCUGUAUUCUCAAGAUCUAUGCUGUUUGGUAGGAAUAGAGAAAAUGAUAUGUUUAGUCUGUUUUCAAAUGGUAUGUCAAAUUUUCUCAUUGUUUAUCAGUAAUAUUCACUACCUUGGUUAUAUAUGAGCAUCUUUAGAUUUUUCUAUAUUUUUCUAUAUUUAGCGGUUGCAAAUGUAAAAUGUACGGUAAACUAUUUAUGUUCCUCAUAUUGUACUGUAUUUUUAGCAGUAAAAUACCGGCAGCUGUGGUUGCCAGGAAUUUACCGUAAAAUGUAUCUGGUCAAAAUAAAAUGCUGUAAUUUGUUAUACA